UACGUAUGGUGCAAGCGUUAUCCGGAUUUACUGGGCGUAAAGCGAGCGCAGGUGGUUUAUUAAGUCUGGUGUAAAAGGCAGUGGCUCAACCAUUGUAUGCAUUGGAAACUGGUAGACUUGAGUGCAGGAGAGGAGAGUGGAAUUCCAUGUGUAGCGGUGAAAUGCGUAGAUAUAUGGAGGAACACCAGUGGCGAAGGCGGCUAACUGGCCUGUAACGGACGCUGAGGCACGAAAGCGUGGGGAGCAAAUAGG
rnacentral:rRNA from 1 species